CAAACGUUCGAUCGAUCGAUGACAUCAUUCGUUCUUUCAUUCCUUUUCUUUCUCAAAUAGCAGCGGUCAAGUUGACCCUGCUCUAAUAGGAAAAGAAAUCUAUAUUUUGUGACCUAAUCUUCAUAAUAGUCAGAACAGCUAAAAUGUCUGGAAAUUGGAACAAUAGCCGUAGUGGAAACGGCGGUUCUAAAUUUGGUAAUGGUGGUUCCAAAUUUGGUAACGGGGGCAAUGGGGGUUCUAAAUUCGGUGCUGGUGGAGGCGGCCGAUUCGGUGGUUCGGGAGGUUUCGGAGGCAAAAAGGAUUUCUCUGGAGGUCAGAACAUGCGUCGUCCCAACUGGGAGUCUAUGUCGCUCCAGCCUUUCAACAAAAACUUUUACAACCCACAUGCCUCUGUACUUAAUAGAUCGCCUUAUGAUGUUGAAUCUUAUAGAAACCAACACGAGAUUACUAUAAGUGGGGUUGAAGUCCCAAAUCCUAUUCAACAUUUUGAUGAAGCUAAUUUCCCUGACUAUGUCAAUCAAGGUAUAACCAACAUGGGCUACAAAGAACCUACACCAAUUCAAGCUCAAGGAUGGCCUAUUGCAAUGUCAGGAAAAAAUUUGGUUGGAAUUGCACAAACUGGAUCUGGGAAAACACUGGCUUAUAUCUUGCCUGCCAUUGUGCACAUUAACAACCAACAGCCCAUCAGACGCGGUGAUGGCCCCAUUGCUUUAGUGCUAGCUCCUACUCGAGAGUUGGCACAACAGAUUCAGCAAGUCACUACAGAUUUUGGUAAUGCUGCAUAUGUACGCAAUACUUGUGUUUUUGGAGGUGCGCCUAAAAGGGAACAAGCACGCGACCUCGAGAGGGGAGUAGAGAUCGUGAUUGCAACACCUGGACGAUUAAUUGAUUUCUUAGAACGCGGCACGACCAAUUUACAGCGCUGCACUUACUUGGUGUUGGAUGAGGCUGAUCGCAUGUUAGACAUGGGCUUUGAACCUCAGAUCAGGAAAAUAAUUGAACAGAUUCGGCCAGACCGGCAAACUUUGAUGUGGUCAGCCACAUGGCCAAAAGAGGUUAGGAAGUUGGCUGAAGACUACCUUGGUGAUUAUGUACAAAUUAAUAUUGGAUCUUUGCAAUUAUCUGCCAAUCACAACAUCUUGCAAAUAGUUGAUGUUUGCCAGGAGCAUGAGAAAGAAAAUAAGUUAAAUGUGUUACUGCAAGAAAUUGGCCAAAGCCAAGAACCUGGUGCCAAGACUAUAAUCUUUGUUGAGACCAAGAAGAAAGUUGAAAAUAUUACUAGAAACAUUAGACGAUAUGGCUGGCCUGCUGUAUGCAUGCAUGGUGACAAAACACAGCAGGAGAGAGAUGAAACAUUGUAUCAGUUUAAGCAUGGCCGUGCCAGUAUUCUUGUAGCAACAGAUGUUGCGGCUCGGGGAUUAGAGGCACUGGCGGAAAGUUAUUGUGUUCUAAUUGCGUACUACCCCAAAUUAUUGGGCAAGCUACUGCACUGGAUUUGUAGAUGACAAUUAGUCUGAUGCAGUUGUUUACUGAGAAUGCAAUAACUCGUCAUAUCUAUGGUGCCUCAUAUGUGCCUUUCACUAUGAUUGGACCCGAGGCCGGAAAGCUUGAUGGUAUGUCCGUACAUGCGGAUACACUUGAAAGUGUGGAAAACCUGGUGAUGCACUAAUGGUUAAAUUCAAAGAUUGAAUAGACAUUGAGACUGGUGCAUCGUUGAAAAACUUGACCACAAGUUGAGAUGAUGAUCUGCGAGAGGUCAAGGGUUUUCUAUUUCGGCCAAAUGGAGUUUUUAAUGGGGCAAGAUAUUAAGUACGCAUUGAAUACCUAUUUAAGAAAUAACAAUGCCCUUAACAAGACUCCUGGGUUCUGAGUGAGAGGCAGUAUUUACUGUUGUUUGAUUACUGUGUACUUGUUCAUAUGUGGAUGGCAUCAAAUAUGUCAUUAACUUUGAUUAUCCAAAUUCUUCUGAGGAUUACAUUCACCGUAUUGGCAGAACUGGUCGCUCAAAAACGAAAGGAACAUCUUAUGCUUUCUUUACACCUUCCAAUUCUCGCCAAGCUAAAGAUCUAGUGUCUGUCCUGCAGGAAGCAAAUCAGACUGUGAAUUCUCAAUUACAAACAAUGGCUGACCGUUGCGGCGGCGGUGGCGGUGGUUGGAACAGGAACAGAUAUGGAGGUGGUCGUGGUGGUGGUGGCACCUUCAAGCGAGGGGGAAACUUUGGUAGAAGUAAUGGACAGGGCAACAAUGGACACCGGAGAUUUAACGAUUAUUAAUGUUAGUGUAUUUAUGAAUAGCUUGAUUCAAGAAAUCCUCAUAGGAAUAUUUGUGUGAAAGUGUAAUAAUGUGUAUUAGUUCUGUUUGACUCUGAAGUCUGUAUUUAUUUAUUCAAAGGUUUGUCUUUGAGCAACACUAUUUUCUAUUAUUUAAGUUUAUUGCACUGUGAUAAUUUAAUAGCUGUGAUUCUAGUGAGGAUUAGCUAAUUUUUUUCAUCCAUUUAUAUAGAUUCAUUGCCCGUAAUUCGAUUUUGUGUUGCCGUGUUACCUACAUUCUGAAGUUUCCGCAUUCCACUGUUCCAUCGUCUGGAAAUAAACUAAUUUUAAGGA